AACGAACGCUGGCGGCAUGCCUAACACAUGCAAGUCGAACGAGACCUUCGGGUCUAGUGGCGCACGGGGGCGUAACGCGUGGGAACCUGCCCUUAGGUUCGGAAUAACUCCCCGAAAGGGGUGCUAAUACCGGAUAAUGUCUUCGGACCAAAGAUUUAUCGCCUUUGGAUGGGCCCGCGUUGGAUUAGCUAGUUGGUAGGGUAAAAGCCUACCAAGGCGACGAUCCAUAGCUGGUCUGAGAGGAUGAUCAGCCACACUGGGACUGAGACACGGCCCAGACUCCUACGGGAGGCAGCAGUGUGGAAUAUUGGACAAUGGGCGAAAGCCUGAUCCAGCAAUGCCGCGUGAGUGAUGAAGGCCUUAGGGUUGUAAAGCUCUUUUACCCGGGAUGAUAGUGACAGUACCGGGAGAAUAAGCUCCGGCUAACUCCGUG
rnacentral:rRNA from 1 species